rnacentral:lncRNA from 1 species
GCCUCUGAAUCCGGAGCUAUAGGAAGCAAAAAGUCGAACUGCAAGAAAUGGGCAGAUGCCUCAAGGCUAGAGGAGCUGGGGGAAGGGCGCACGCGAGAACUGAACAGAUACCGCACCAGCAACCAGAAAUCAAGUCCAGCUCAGCAAAGUAUGUUCUUUAAUAUGAGAAGCUGAUUGGUUGUUUCCUCUGCUUGUGCUGACAUCCAAUUAAAAGAAUGAAACCAGAAAAAGAUAGCUUCUUGGAAGCCCUACUUAUAACCUAAUUAGUGAACCAGAGAAGGAACUUAGCAUCUCUGACCUUCAUGUUCACCUUCACGGCCUUUCUGCUUCAGAGUAGAACAAACUAACUCUGUUAGAAUGCCAGAGGUUUUCAAGGAAUGCAAAAAAGAAAGCAGAGUGAAAGGAAAGAAAGACACUGAAGAGGUCCUCACUGGCAGUAACUUAUUCUUGUUACUUCUGCAUACCAUCAAUGAUGUUUGCAUCUUCAGCAAGCCUAGACAUCUCUGCCUGUGAACUUGGGAUGGAUGGAAGAUAUCUAUGGAAGGAUGCAGAUGAUGAGGCCAUUAAGAACCCAACUGUGGUGGACAGUCUUUUUCAAAUUAUUAUUAUUAUUAUUAUUAUUAGUAGUAGUAGUAGUAGUAGUAUGUUGUAUUAUUCCAUAGUAUCUGACCACCCUCUCUAAUACAAAUCAUACUUAAUGUUGUCACUUACGGUACAGUAUACACAUAGCACCAUGGAAACUAGCCAUGGGGUUAGCCCUUACUACUGCAUGAAUGUCUGAAGAGUAGGUACCAUCAACUAUCCUUCUAUGCUGCAUCAAUUAUCCUGUCUACUGCUGUAUGUCCAUUUUUACCUAUCAUUAAGCUUCACAAAAACUUAAGUUACUUAAAAAUUAAACAUUCAAAUGUUUGUUGAGAAAACAAUAAACAUGAAAAAUUUUCCUAUU